GGUCGGUUAGCUCAGUUGGUAGAGCAUCGCAAUUACACUGCCACUCUUAUGAGUAUGAGGCACAGGAUUACUGCGAAGGCCAUAGGUUCAAGCCCUAUACUGACCA